AGGACGAACGCUGGCGGCGUGCUUAACACAUGCAAGUCGAGCGGAAAGGCCCUUCGGGGUACUCGAGCGGCGAACGGGUGAGUAACACGUGAGUAAUCUGCCCCUAGCUCUGGGAUAGCUCCGGGAAACCGGGAUUAAUACCAGAUACGACCACUUUAGACAUCUUUUGUGGUGGAAAGAAUUUCGGCUAGGGAUGAGCUCGCGGCCUAUCAGCUUGUUGGUGGGGUAACGGCCUACCAAGGCGACGACGGGUA
rnacentral:rRNA from 1 species